rfam:Gossypium arboreum cultivar AKA8401 contig_3291_11, whole genome shotgun sequence.
AAUCCAUACAUCGAACAUUUCUGAAGUAAUUCUUUAAAUCGUUCCCCAGCUUCAUAUAAUGUUUCAUCCUCUAAUUAUCAAAAGCAUGUAAUGUCAUUUCUAAGCUU